rfam:Sodalis sp. TME1 V4_final_sodalis.fa.Contig32, whole genome shotgun sequence.
CUAUAGUCAACCUGCACCUGCAAAUUCAGGUGUCGGGAUUGACCUCCCGGUUA